rnacentral:rRNA from 1 species
AUCUAGCCAUGGGCAGGUUGAAGGUUGGGUAACACUAACUGGAGGACCGAACCGACUAAUGUUGAAAAAUUAGCGGAUGACCUGUGGCUGGGGGUGAAAGGCCAAUCAAACCGGGAGAUAGCUGGUUCUCCCCGAAAGCUAUUUAGGUAGCGCCUCGUGAAUUCAUCUCCGGGGGUAGAGCACUGUUUCGGCUAGGGGGCCAUCCCGGCUUACCAACCCGAUGCAAACUGCGAAUACCGGAGAAUGUUAUCACGGGAGACACACGGCGGGUGCUAAUGUCCGUCGUGAAGAGGGAAACAACCCAGACCGCCAGCUAAGGUCCCAAAGUCAUGGUUAAGUGGGAAACGAUGUGGGAAGGCCCAGACAGCCAGGAUGUUGGCUUAGAAGCAGCCAUCAUUUAAAGAAAGCGUAAUAGCUCACUGGUCGAGUCGGCCUGCGCGGAAGAUGUAACGGGGCUAAACCAUGCACCGAAGCUGCGGCAGCGACACCGUGUGUUGUUGGGUAGGGGAGCGUUCUGUAAGCCUGUGAAGGUGUGCUGUGAGGCAUGCUGGAGGUAUCAGAAGUGCGAAUGCUGACAUAAGUAACGAUAAAGCGGGUGAAAAGCCCGCUCGCCGGAAGACCAAGGGUUCCUGUCCAACGUUAAUCGGGGCAGGGUGAGUCGACCCCUAAGGCGAGGCCGAAAGGCGUAGUCGAUGGGAAACGGGUUAAUAUUCCCGUACUUGGUGUUACUGCGAAGGGGGGACGGAGAAGGCUAUGUUGGCCGGGCGACGGUUGUCCCGGUUUAAGCGUGUAGGUAUGUGUUCCAGGUAAAUCCGGUUCACUUUAACACUGAGGCGUGACGACGAGGCACUACGGUGCUGAAGCAACAAAUGCCCUGCUUCCAGGAAAAGCCUCUAAGCAUCAGGUAACAUCAAAUCGUACCCCAAACCGACACAGGUGGUCAGGUAGAGAAUACCAAGGCGCUUGAGAGAACUCGGGUGAAGGAACUAGGCAAAAUGGUGCCGUAACUUCGGGAGAAGGCACGCUGACACGUAGGUGAAGUGAUUUACUCACGGAGCUGAAGUCAGCCGAAGAUACCAGCUGGCUGCAACUGUUUAUUAAAAACACAGCACUGUGCAAACACGAAAGUGGACGUAUACGGUGUGACGCCUGCCCGGUGCCGGAAGGUUAAUUGAUGGGGUCAGCGCAAGCGAAGCUCCUGAUCGAAGCCCCGGUAAACGGCGGCCGUAACUAUAACGGUCCUAAGGUAGCGAAAUUCCUUGUCGGGUAAGUUCCGACCUGCACGAAUGGCGUAAUGAUGGCCAGGCUGUCUCCACCCGAGACUCAGUGAAAUUGAACUCGCUGUGAAGAUGCAGUGUACCCGCGGCAAGACGGAAAGACCCCGUGAACCUUUACUAUAGCUUGACACUGAACAUUGAGCCUUGAUGUGUAGGAUAGGUGGGAGGCUUUGAAGUGUGGACGCCAGUCUGCAUGGAGCCGACCUUGAAAUACCACCCUUUAAUGUUUGAUGUUCUAACGUGGACCCGUGAUCCGGGUUGCGGACAGUGUCUGGUGGGUAGUUUGACUGGGGCGGUCUCCUCCUAAAGAGUAACGGAGGAGCACGAAGGUUGGCUAAUCCUGGUCGGACAUCAGGAGGUUAGUGCAAUGGCAUAAGCCAGCUUGACUGCGAGCGUGACGGCGCGAGCAGGUGCGAAAGCAGGUCAUAGUGAUCCGGUGGUUCUGAAUGGAAGGGCCAUCGCUCAACGGAUAAAAGGUACUCCGGGGAUAACAGGCUGAUACCGCCCAAGAGUUCAUAUCGACGGCGGUGUUUGGCACCUCGAUGUCGGCUCAUCACAUCCUGGGGCUGAAGUAGGUCCCAAGGGUAUGGCUGUUCGCCAUUUAAAGUGGUACGCGAGCUGGGUUUAGAACGUCGUGAGACAGUUCGGUCCCUAUCUGCCGUGGGCGCUGGAGAACUGAGGGGGGCUGCUCCUAGUACGAGAGGACCGGAGUGGACGCAUCACUGGUGUUCGGGUUGUCAUGCCAAUGGCACUGCCCGGUAGCUAAAUGCGGAAGAGAUAAGUGCUGAAAGCAUCUAAGCACGAAACUUGCCCCGAGAUGAGUUCUCCCUGAGACUUUAGGUCUCCUGAAGGAACGUUGAAGACGACGACGUUGAUAGGCCGGGUGUGUAAGCGCAGCGAUGCGUUGAGCUAACCGGUACUAAUGAACCGUGAGGCUUAACCUUACAACGCCGAAG